rnacentral:rRNA from 1 species
AUUGAACGCUGGCGGCAGGCCUAACACAUGCAAGUCGAACGGUAGCACAAAGAGCUUGCUCUUGGGUGACGAGUGGCGGACGGGUGAGUAAUGUCUGGGAAACUGCCCGAUGGAGGGGGAUAACUACUGGAAACGGUAGCUAAUACCGCAUAACGUCGCAAGACCAAAGUGGGGGACCUUCGGGCCUCACACCAUCGGAUGUGCCCAGAUGGGAUUGGCUGGUAGGUGGGGUAAUGGCUCACCUAGGCGACGAUCCCUAGCUGGUCGGAGAGGAUGACCAGCCACACGGGAACUGAGACACCGUCCAGACCCCUACGGGAGGCAGCAGUGUGGAAUAUUGCACAAUGGGCGCAAGCCUGAUGCAGCCAUGCCGCGUGUAUGAAGAAGGCCUUCGGGUUGUAAAGUACUUUCAGCGAGGAGGAAGGCAUUAAGGUUAAUAACCUUGGUGAUUGACGUUACUCGCAGAAGAAGCACCGGCUAACUCCGUGCCAGCCGCCGCCGUAA